GACGAACGCUGGCGGCGUGCUUAACACAUGCAAGUCGAACGGAAAGGCCCGGCUUUUGUGGGGUGCUCGUUUGGCGAACGGGUGAGUAACACGUGUGUAACCUGCCCUUGACUGUGGGAUAACUUUAGGAAACUGGGGCUAAUACCGGAUAGGAUCUCCUGCUGCAUGGUGGGGGUUGGAAAGUUUCGGCGGUGGGGGAUGGACUCGCGGCUUAUCAGCUUGUUGGGGGGGUAGUGGCGUACCAGGGCUUUGACGGGUAGCCGGCCUGAGAGCGUUACCGGCCACAUUGGGACUGAGGUACGGACCAGAAUCCUACGGGAGGCAGCAGUGGGGAAUAUUGCACAAUGGGCGGAAGCCUGAGGCAGCAACGCCGCGUGCGGGAUGACGGCCUUCGGGUUGUAAACCGAUUUCGCCUGUGACGAAGCGUGAGUGACGGUAAUGGGUAAAGAAGCACCGGCUAACUACGUG
rnacentral:rRNA from 1 species